rnacentral:rRNA from 1 species
GACGAACGCUGGCGGCGUGCUUAACACAUGCAAGUCGAACGGAAAGGCCCUGCUUUUGUGGGGUGCUCGAGUGGCGAACGGGUGAGUAACACGUGAGUAACCUGCCCUUGACUUUGGGAUAACUUCAGGAAACUGGGGCUAAUACCGGAUAGGAGCUCCUGCUGCAUGGUGGGGGUUGGAAAGUUUCGGCGGUUGGGGAUGGAAUCGCGGCUUAUCAGCUUGUUGGUGGGUUAGUGGCUUACCAAGGCUUUGACGGGUAGCCGGCCUGAGAGGGUUACCGGCGACAUUGGGACUGAGAGACGGCCCAGAGGACAACGGGAGGCAGCAGUGGGGAAGAUUGCACAAUGGGGGGAAGCCUGAUGCAGCAACGGCGCGUGCGGGAAGACGGGCUUCGGGUUGUAAACAGCUUUAGCCUGGGAAGAAGCGGGAGUGACGGUAAUGGGUAAAGAAGCACCGGCUAACUACGUG